AACCCUGUGAGAAUGCCCUACUUAUCGCCAUGCUAGGGAAAAAGGAGCCGGUAUCAGGCACAACCCUACGUUAGCCCACGACACCUUGCUUAGCCACACCCCCAAGGGAUUCAGCAGUAGUAAACAUUAAGCAAUAAGUGAAAACUUGACUUAGUUAAAAUCAUAGAGGGCCGGUUAAACUCGUGCCAGCCACCGCGGUUAUACGAGAGGCCUAAGUUGACAAGCAUCGGCGUAAAGGGUGGUUAAUGUAUAACAAACUAAGACCGAACAUCUUCAAGGCUGUCAUACGCACCCGAAGGCAGGAAGAUCCUCUACGAAAGUGGUCUUAACCAAAUAUGAACCCACGAAAGCUAGGGAACAAACUGGGAUUAGAUACCCCACUAUGCCUAGCCCUAAACAUAAGUAUUUCAUCACACAAUACUCGCCAGGGGACAACGAGCCUCAGCUUAAAACCCAAAGGACUUGGCGGUGCUUUAGACCCCCCUAGAGGAGCCUGUUCUAGAACCGAUACUCCCCUUUCAACCUCACCCUCUCUUGUUUUUCCC
rnacentral:rRNA from 1 species